CCUACGGGGGGCAGCAGUCGAGAAUCAUUCACAAUGGGGGAAACCCUGAUGGGGCGACGCCGCGUGGGGGAAUGAAGGUCUUCGGAUUGUAAACCCCUGUCAUGUGGGAGCAAAUUAAAAAGAUAGUACCACAAGAGGAAGAGACGGCUAACGCUGUGCCAGCAGCCGCGGUAAUACAGAGGUCACAAGCGUUGUUCGGAAUCACGGGGAGUAAAGCGUGCGUAGGCUGUUUCGUAAGUCGUGUGUGAAAGGCCCGGGCUCAACCCGCGGACGGCACAUGAUACUGCGAGACUAGAGUACUGGAGUGGGAACCGGAAUUCUCGGUGUAGCAGUGAAAUGCGUAGAUAUCGAGAGGAACACUCGUGGCGAAGGCGGGUUCCUGGACAUUAACUGACGCUGAGGCACGACUGCCAGGGGAGCGAAAGGGAUUAGAUACCCUUGUAGUC
rnacentral:rRNA from 1 species